CCUGCCUCAGCCUCCGGAGUUGCUGGGACUACAGGCGCCCUCCACCAUGCCUGGCUAAUUUUUUGUAUUUUUAGUGGAGGCGGGGUUUCACCAUGUUAGCCAGGAUGGUCUGGAUCUCCUGACCUCUUAAUCCGCCCGCCUCAGCCUCCCAAAGUGCUGAGCCAAGGGAUUACAGGUGUGAGCCACCUCUCCCGGCCAAAGCCAGGGGAUUUACAGCCUGCCCAAGGCAACUUUUGAGGCUUCUGGGAUGGGAGAGGCCUCUUUGCGAGGCUCCCAGCAUUUUCUGCGGUCUUACUGCUUUUCGCCUCUGCCUGUCUCAGCGUCCUCCUGAGUCCCUGCAACCCUCCACUCAACCCUAUGGCCCCGUUUUUCCAGGUAUGAAACACGAUUUUUCUAUAAUCUGUGAAAGGACAUUUCAGAGCCCACUGAAGCCUAUAGUGAAAAACAGAAGAACCAGCAAUAAAAAAUGAGAAAGAAGCUAUCUGUGAAACUGCUUUGUUAUAUGUGCAUUCAGCUCACAGAGUUAAACCUUGGUUUUGAUACAGCAAGUUGGAAGCACCCUUUUUGUAGAACUUGUGAAGGGACAUUUUGGAGUAAACUGAGACCUAUAGUGGAAAACUGAAUAUCCCAAGAUAAAAUCAAGAAAGAAGCUAUCUGUGAAACUGCUUUAGGAUGUAUGGAUUCACUUCACAGUGUUAAAACUUUCUUUUUAUUUAGCAUGUUGUAAACAGUCUUUUUGUUGAAUCUGCAAAGGGAACUUUUGGAACCCACUGAAGUCUACAGUGAGAAACAGAAUAUCCCAUGAUAUUCACAGAAGAAGCUAUCUGUGAAACUGCUUUGUAAUGUGUGUAUUCAGCUCAAAGAAGUAAACCUUUUUUUGAUUCAGCAGCUUGGAAACAUUCUCUUUGUAGUAUUUGUGAAGGGACAUUUCUGAGCCUUCUGAAGCAUAGAGUGAAAAAUGAAAUAAAGAAGGUACCUGUGAAUCUAAUUGUGAUGUGCAGAUUCAGCUCACUGAGUUAAAACUUUCUUUGGAUUAAGAAGGUUGGUAACACUCUUUUUGUAGAAUCUGUGAAGAGACAUUUCAGAAGCCAACUGAGGCCUAUAUUGAGAAAGAGAAUAUUUCACAGUAAGAACUAGAAAGAAGAUAUGUGUGAGGCUGCUUUGUGAUAUGGGGAUUCAGCUCAUAGAAUUGAACUUUUCUUUUGAUUCAGCAUGUUGGAUACACUCUUUUUGUAGAAUCUGCAUAGGAACAUUUUGGGGUGCACUGAGGCCUAUAGUGAGAAAAAGAACAUCCAGCAAUUCAAACUAGAAAGAAUUAAUAUGUGAAACUGCUUUGUAAUGUGUGCAUUCAGAUAACAGAAUUAAACCUUUCCUUUAAUUCAGCAGGUUAAAAACAAACUUUUUGUAAAAUCUAUGAAGGGAGAUUUCAAAGCCCACUGAGGCCAGUAGAGAAAAACCAGAUAUUCCAUGAUAAAAACUAGAAAGAAGCUAUCUGAGAAACUGCUUUGUGAUUUGUGAAUUCAGCUCAAUGACUUAAACCUUUCUUUUUACACAGCAGAUAGGAAUCUGCUGUAGAAUCUGCAAAGGGACAUUUUGGAACCCCGUGAAGCCUAUAGUGAAAAACCAAAUAUCCCCGAUAAAUACUAGAAAGAAGCUAUCAGUGAAACUGAUUUGUCAUGUGUGUAUUCAGCUCACAGAGUUCAACCUUUCUUCUGAUUCAACAGGUUGGAAAAAUUCUCCUUGUAAAAUCCGGGAAGAAAUAUUUUGGAACCCAGUGAGGCCUAUAGUGUAACACCAAGUAUCCUGUGACAAAAAUUAGAAAGAAACUAUGUGUGAAACUGCUUUGUGAUGUGUGGAUUAAGCUCACAGGGUUAAACCUUUAUUUUUAUUCAGCAGGUUUGAAACAAUCUGUUUUUAGAAUCUGUGAAGAAACAUUUAAGAGCCCACUGACACCUAUAGUGAAAAACCAAAUAUCUCACAAUAAAAUAGAAAGAGGCUAUCUGUGAAACUGCUUUGUGAUGUAUGCAUUUCGCUCACAGAGUUACACCUUUCUUUUGAUUCAGCCUGUGGGAAACCCUCUUUUUGUAUAAUCUGCAAAGGGACAUUUCAGAGCCCACUGAGGCCUGUAGUGAAAAACUGAAAAUCUCGUGAUAAAACUAGAAAGAAGCUAUUUAUGAAUCUCCUUUGUGAGGUUGGAAAUAUUCUUUUUUUUUUAGAAUCUGUGAAGAAGUAUUUCUCAGCCCACUGAAGCCUACAGUGAGAAACUGAAUAUACGAUGAUAAAAAGUAGAAAGAAGCUAUGUGUGAAAUUUCUUUGUGAUGUGUGGAUUCAGCUUACAGAGGUAAACCUUUCUUGUGAUUCAGCAGGUUGGAAACACUCUUUUUGGAGAAUCUGUGAAGGGACAUUACUGAGUCCACUAAGGCCUAUGGUGAAUAAAAGAAUAUCUUGUGAUAAAAACUAGAAAGAAGCUAUCUGUGAAGUGGCUUGUGAUGUGAGCCUUCAGCUCACAGAGUUAAGUCUUACUUUGGAUUCAGAUCAUUGGAAACACACAUUUGUAGAACCUGCAAAGGGACAUUUCAGAAACACUAGUCCUAAAGUGAACAACCAAAUAUUCCAUGAUUAAAAACUAGAAAGAAGGUAUCUGUGAAACUUUUUUGUGACGUAUGCAUUCGGCUCAAAGAGUUAAAACUUUCUUUGGAUUCACCAGUGGAAAGAUUCUUUUUGUACAAUCUUCAAAGGGACAUUUCUGAUCCCACUGAGGCCUGUAAUGAAAAAUUGAAUAUUCCACAAUAAUAAAUAGAAAGAAGUCAUCUGUUCAUCUAAUUUGUGAUGUAUGGAUUCAGCUCACAGAGAUAAACUUUUCUGUUGAUUUAGAAGGCUGGAAUAAUUCUUUUUAUAGAAUCUGCAAAGGGAUAUUUCAGAGCAAGCAGAAGUCUAUAAUGACAAACACAAUAUUCUGUGAUAAACACUAGAAAGAAUGUAUCUGUGAAAUGCUUUGUUAUGUAGACAUUCAGCUUACAGAAUUGAAAUUUUCCUUUUAUUCACCAGGUUGGAAAAACUCAUUUUGUAGAAUCUGCAAAGCUACAUUUUGGAGCCCAAUGUGACCUAUCAUGGGAAACAGAAUAUCCCAUGAUAAAAUCUAGAAAGAAGCUAUCUGUGAAACUGCUUUGUGAUCUGUAAAUUCAGUUCAAAAUGAUAAACAUUUCUUUUUAUUCAGCAGGUUGGAAACGCUCUUUUUGUAGAAUCUGUGAAUUAACAUUUUGGAGCGCACUGAGGCCUAUAGUGAAAAACUGAAAAUCCCACACUAAAAACUAGAAAGAAGCUAUCUGUGAAACUGCUUUGUGACAUGUGCAUUUCACUCACAGAGUUAAAUUCUUUCUGUGAUUCAGCAGGUUGGAAACAUUCUUUUUGGAGAAUCUAGGUAAAGGCAUUUCAGAGCCCACUGAGGACUAUAGUUUAAAACUGAAUAUCCUGCAAUAACCACUAGAAAGAAGCUGCCUGAAAAACUGCUUUGUGGUUGAAAACAUUCUCUUUGUAGAAUCUGAGAAGGAAUAUUUCAGAGCCCACUAAGACCUAUUAUGAAAAACUGAAUACUCCAUGAUAAAAACUAGAAAGAAAGUAUCCAUGAAACUGCUUUUUGAUGAGAGGAUUCAGGUACCAAAUUUAAACCUCUCUUUUCACUCAGAAGGUUUGGAAAACUUUUUUUUGAAGCAUUUGCGAAGAGACAUUUGGUGCCCACUGAGGCCUAUAGUGAAAAACAAAAUAUUCCCUGCAUAAAACUAGAAAGAAGCUAUCUGAGAAACUGCUUUGUCAUAUGUGGAUUCAACUCAAAGAGUUAAGCUUCUUUUGAUUCAGUAGGUUGGAAACACUCUUAUUGUAGCUUAUGUGAAGGGACAUUUUUGAGCCCACUGCAGCCUGUAGUGAAAAACUGAAUAUUCCAUGAUAAAUACUAGAAAGAAGCUGUCUGUGUAACUGCAUUAUGAAGCAUGGAUUAAGUUCAAAGAGUUAAAUCAUUCCUUUGAUUUAGCAGGUUGGAGGCACUUUUUUUUUAGAAUCUGCAAAGGGACAUUUUGGAGGCCACUGAAGCCUACAGUGUAAAACUGAAUAUCCCAUGAUAAAAACUAGAAAAAAAUUAUCUGGGAAACUGUUUUGUGAUACGUGCAUUUCACUCACAGAGUUAAACAUUUCUUUUUAUUCAGCAGGUUAGAAACCCUUUUUUUUUUUAGAAUCUGUGAACGGACAUUUCAGAGCCCACUGAGGCCUAUUGAGAAAAACUGAAUAUCCCAUGAUAAAAACUAGAAUGAAUCUCUCUGUGAAACUGCUUUGUCAUGUGUGCAUUCAGAUCACAGAGUUAAUCCUUUCUUUUGAUUCAGCAGGUAGGAAACACUAUUUUUGUAGAAUCUGCAAAGGGACAUUUUGGAGCCCACUGAGGCCAAUAGUGAGAAAUUGAAUAUCCUGUGAUAAAUACUAGAAAGAAAAAUCUGUUAAACUGCUUGUGAUGUGAGGAUUCAGCACACAGAGUUAAUACUUUCUUCUGAUUUUCCAGGUAGGAAUGAAUCUUUUUGUAGAAUCUGCAAAGGGACAUUCCGAAGGCCACUGAAGCCUAAAGUUUGAAACUGAAUAUCCCACCAUAAAAACUAGAAAAAAUCUCUCUGAGAAACUGCUUUGUGAUAUGUGCAUUCAGCUCACAGGGUUAAACCUUUCUUUUGAUUCAGCUGGUUGGAAAAACUCUUUUUGUAGAAUCUGUGAGGGAACAUUUUGGAGCCCACUGAGGCUUACAGUGAAAAAUUGAAUGUUCUGUGACUAAAACUAAAAAGAAGCUAUCAGUCAGACUGCUUUUGUUGUGUGGAUUCAGAUCACAGAAUAAAGCCUGUCUUUUGAUUCAGCAGGUUGGAAACACUGUAUUUGUAGCAUCUGAGAUGGGACAUUUUGUACCUAAAUGAGGCCCUUAGUGAAAAACAGAAUAUCCCACAAUAAAAACUAGAAAGAAGCUAUCUGUGAAACUUCUUUGUGAUGUGUGUAUUCAUUUCAGAGAGUUAAAGCUUUUUCUUGAUUCAGCAGAUUGGAAACACUCUUUGCAGUAUCAGCAAAGGGACAUUUCAGGGCCCACUGGGUUCAAAUGUCAAAAACUGAAUAUCUUGCAAUAAAAACUAGAAAGAAGCCAUAUGUGAAAUUGCUUUGUGAUGUCUGGAUUCUGCUCACUGAGUUAACCUUUUCUUUUGAUUCAGCAUGUUGAAAACUUUUUUUUGCAGUAUCUGUGAAGAGGCAUUUCAAAGCCAAUUGAGUUCAAAAGUGAAAAACCAAAAAUCACGCAAUAAAAACUAGAAAGAAAUGAUCUGUGAAACUGCAUUGUGAUGUGUGCCUUCCACUCAGAGUAAAACCUAUCUUUUGAUUAAGGAGGCUGUAGACUCUCUUUUUGUAGAAUCUCCAAAGAACCACUUCAUAGCCCACUGAGUCCAAAAGUGAAAAAAAGAAUAUCCCGUGAUAAAAACUAGAAAGAAGCUGAUUGUGAAACUGCUUUCUGAUGUGUGUAUUCUGCUCACAGUGUUAAACUUUACUUUUGAUUCACCAGGUUUAAUACACUCAUUUGUAGAAUCUACAAAGGAUCAUUUCAGAGCAAAGUGAGGCCUAUGAUGCAGAACUGAUCAUCCCACAAUAAAAAGUUGAAAGAACCUAUCUGUGAAACUGCUUUGUGAUGUGUACAUUCAGUUCACAGAGUUUAAUCUUUCUUUUGAUUAAGCAGGUUUGAAACACUCUUUUUGUAGAAUCUCUGAAAGGACAUUUUAGAGCCAACAGGAUAAAAACUUGAAAUAAGCUGUCUGUGAAACUGCUUUGUAAUGUGUGGAGUAAAGUCACAGAGUUAAAACCUUCUUUUGAUUCAGCAGGUUUGAAAUACUCUUUUUUUAGAAUCUGCAAAUGGAUAUUUUGGAGAUGACUUAGUCCUAUAGUGAAAACCUGAAAUAUCCCAUGAUAAAAAACUAGAAAAAACUAUCUGUGAAUCUACUUUGUGGUGUGUAGAUUUAGCUCACUGUGUUGAAGAUUUCUUUUAAUUAAGAAGUUGGAAGAAGGCUUAUUGUAGAAUCUACUAUGGGACAUUUUGGUGCCCAGUUAACCAUAUAGUGAAAAAUCGUGUAUCUUGAGAUAAAAACUGGAAAGAAGUUCUCUGUGAAACUGCUUUGUGAUGUGUGCAUUCAGUUCACGGAGUUAAAUCUGUUUUUUGAAUCAGCAGAUUGGAAACAGUUUUUUGUCAAAUCUGUGAAUAGACAUUUGGGAGGCUACUGAGGCCUGUAGUAAAAAAACGAAUAUCCCGAGAUAAAAAUUAGAAAGAAGUUAUCUGUGAAACUGCUUUUUGAUGUGUGGAUUCAGUUCAGAGUUCAACGUUUCUUUUGUUUCAGCAAGUUGGAAACACCCUUUUUGUAAGUUUGUGAAGAAAUAUUUCAAAGCCCAAUGACACCUUUAUUGAAAAACUGAAUAUCCAUGAUAAGAACUAGAAAAAAGCUAUCUGUGAAACUGCUUUGUAAUGUGUGGAUUCAGCUCACAGAGUUAAACAUUUCUUUUGUUUCAGCAAAUUGGAAGCACUCUUUUUGAAAAAUCUGUGAAGAAAUAUUUUGGAGCCCACUGAUGCCUAUAUUGAAGAAAAGAAUUUCCAUCAACAAAAGCUAGAAAGAAGCUAUCUGUGAAACUCCUUUGUGAUGUGUACAUUCAGAUCACAGAUAUAAACCGUUUUUUGAUUCAGCAGGUUGGAAACACUCUUUCUGUAGAAUCUAUGAGGGGACAUUUCUGAGCCCACUGACACAUUUACUAAAAAAACUAACAUUGUGAGAUAAAAACUAGAAUGAAUCUAUAGGUGAAAUUUCUUUUUGAUGUCUGUAUUCACCUCACAGACUUAAACCUUUCUUUUGAUUCAUUAUUUUGGAAACACUCUUUUUGUAGGUCUGUGAAGGGACAUUUCAGAGGCCACUAAUGCCUAUUGUGAAACAGUGAAUAUCUUGCAAUACAAACUAGAAAGAAGUUAUCUGUGAAAUUAUUUUUUGUUGUGUGAAUUCAGCUCACAGUUAAUCCUUGCUUUUGAUUCAGCAGGUUGGAAACGCUUUUUUUGUAGAAUCUGCAAAUGGAUAUUUUGGAGCCCACUGAGGCUUAUAGUGAAAAACUGUAUAGCCUAUGACAAAACUUUUGAUGAAACCAUGUGUGAAACUACUUUGUGAUGCCUGGAUUCAGCUCACAGACUUAAACCAUACCAUUGAUUCAGAAGGUUUGAAAUGCUCUUUUUGUACAAUCUGCACAGGAACAUUUCAAAGCACACUGAGGCCUAUAGUGAAAAAACAAAUAUCCCACAAUAAAAACUAAAAAGAAUCUGUUUGUGAAAUUGCUUUGUGGUGUGUGAAUUCAGCUCACAGAGUUAAACGUUUAUUUUGAUUUAGCUGGUUGGAGACACUCUUUUGAUAAAAUCUGUGGCCUAUAGUGAAAAACUGAAUAUCUCACAAUAAAAACAAGAAAGAUGAUAUCUGUGAAACUGCUUUAUGAAUUGUACACUCAGCUCACAGAUUUAAAGCUUUCUUUUUUUCCAGCAGGGUGAAAACACUUUUUUUGUUGAAUCUGCGAAAAGACAUUUCAUAGCCGACUGAAGCUGAUAGUGAAAAACAGCAUAUCCCAAGAUUAAAAGUCAAAAUAAGCUCUCUGUGAAACUACUUUGUGAUGGAUGGAUUAAGCUCACAGGGUUAAACCUUUGUUUUGAUUCUGCUGUUUAAAAACACUCUUUUUGUAGAAUAUGUGAAGAGACAUUUUGAAGCCGAUUGAGGACUGUAGUGAAAAACUGAAUAUCCCAAAAUAAAAAUUAGAAAGAAGCUACAUGUAAUACUACUUUGUAACGUGUGGAUUCAUCUCACAAAGUUAAACCUUUCUUUUGAUUCAGCAGUUUGGAAACACUCGUUUUGUAGAAUCUGCGAAGGGACUUUUGGAGCCCAUUGAGGCCUAUAGUGAAAAAAUUAAUAGCCCUAGUUAAAAAACUAGAAAGAUGCUAUCUCUGAAACCACUUAGUGAUGUGUGGAUUUAUCUCACAGAUUUAAACCUUUCUUUUGAUUCAGCAGGUUGGAAACACUCUUUUUGUUCAAUCUGCAAUGGCACAUUUCAGUGCCCAAUGUUGCCUAUAGUGAUAAAAAGGCACUCUUUUUGUAGAAACUGUGAAGGAACAUUUGGGACCUCACUGAGUUCUUACAUGAAAAGCAGAGUAUUCCUCAAUGAAAACUGGAAAGAAUCUAUCUGUGAAACUGCUUUGUGAUGUGUGGUUUCAGCUCACAGAAUUAAAACUUUUUUUUUAUUAUUCAGCUAGUUGAAGCAAUCAUUUUGUAGAUUUAUUUCAGAGCCCACUUACACCUAUAGUGAAAAACUGAAUAUAUUGGAGAAAACUAAAGCAAGCUAUUGUGAAAUUUGUUUGUGAUGUGUGGAUUCAGUUCACUGUGUUAAAACUUUCUUUUGACUCAGGAUGUUGGCAGCACUCUUUUUAUAUAAUCUCCAAAAGGAUAUUUCAGAGCUCAUUGAGGUUAUAGUGAAAAAACGAAUAUCUUAUAAUAAAAACUAGAAAGAAACUAUCUGUUAAACUGCUUUGUGAUGUGAGGAUUCAGCUCACAGAGUUAAAUGUUUCCUUCGAAGAAGUAGGUUGGAAACCUUUUUUUGCAGAAAAUGUGAAGGGACAUUUCCGAGUCCUUUGAAGCCUAUACUGAAUAACCAAAUAUCCCAUGAUAAAAACUAGACAGAAUUUAUUUGUGAAACCGUUUUGUGAUGUGUGCACUCAGCUCACAGAGUUCACAAUUUUCUUAAAUUCAGAGUUAAACGUUUCUUUUGAUUCAUCAGUUUGGAAACACUCUUUUUUAGAAUCUGUGAAGGGUCAUUUCAGAACCCAAUGAGGCCUACAGUGAAAAUUGAAUAUCCCUUGAUUAAAACGAGAAAGACGCUAUCUGUGAAACUGCUUAGAGAUGUGUGGAUUCAGCUCACAGAGUUAAAAUUUGUUUUGAUUCAAUAGGUUGGAAACACUCUUUUUGUAGAAUCAGUGAAGUUACAUUUUGGAGCUCACUGAGACCUAUAAUAAAAAAUGGUAUAACCCAUGAUAAAAACUAGAAUUAAGCUAUCUGUUUUAUUACUUUUUGAUGCAUAAAAACAACUAACAGAGUUAAACUUUUAUUUUAUUUAGUAAAUUGGAACCACUGAUUUUGUAGGAUCUGUGAAGGGACAUUUUGCAGCCUACUGAGUCCUAUAUUGAAAACUGAACAUCCCAUGAAAAAAACUAGAAAGAAGCGAUUGAUGAGAUUUCUUUGUGGUGUGUGCAUUUAGCUCAGAGUAUAACUUUUCUUUUGAUUCAACAGGUUGGAAACACUCUUUUUGUAGAAAGUGUGAAGGGACAUUUCAAAGCCCACUGAGCCCUAAAAUGAAAGAUAAAAUAUCUCAAUAAAAACUAGAAAGAAGGUGUCUGUGAAACUGCUUUGUGAUGUGUGGAUAGAGCUAACAGAGUUAAACCUUUCUUUUCAUUCAGCAAGUUGGAAAUACUCUUUAAGGAGAUACUGUGAAGGGACAUUUCAGAAAAAAACAGAGGUUAAUAUUGAAAAAUUGAAUAUCCCAUGAAGAAAAACUAUCUUUCAAACAGCAUUGUGGUGUGUAUAUUCAGCUCACAGAGUUAAACCUCUCUUUAAAUUCAGCAGAUUGGAAAUAUUUCCAUUGUUUCAGCAGGUAGGAAACACUCUUUUUGUAGAAGCUACAAAGGGACAUUUCAGAGCCCACUGAGACCUAUUAUAAAAAAUUGACUAUCUGACAAUAAAAACUAGAAAUAAGCUAUCAUCUGUGAAACUGCUUUGUAACAUUUGGAUUGAGCUCACAGAAUUAAAACUUUCCCUCGAUUCAGAAGGCUGGAACUACUCUUUUUGUAGAGUCUGCAAUGGAAUAUUUUGGAACCCACUGAGGCCUAUGAAGAAAAACUGAAUAUCCUUGAACAAAAAAUAGUAAGAAGCUUCAGUUAAGCUGAUUUGUGAUGUGUGUAUUCAGCUCACACAUUAAACCUUUCUUCUGAUUUAGUAGGUUAAAAAUACUCUUCUUGUAGCAUCUACAUGGGGACAUUUCAGAGCCCACUGAGUCCAAUAGUGAAAAAAUGAAUAUCCCAUGAUAACUAGAAAGAAGCUAUCUGUGAAACUGCUUUGUGAUGUGUGCAUUCCUCUCACAAAGUUAAAUUUUUCUUUUGAUUCAGCAGAUGGGAAAAACUCUUUUUAUGUAAUGUGUGAGUGGACAUUUCAGACCCCCUGAGAUGAGUAAUGAAAAACAAUAUUCUAUGAUAAAAUCGAGAAAGAAGCUAUCUGUGAAACCGUUUUGUGAUGUGAAGAUUUACCUCACAGAUUGAAACCUUUUUUUGGAUUCAGUGCAUUGGAAACACUCUAUUUGUAGAGUCUGUGAUGGGACAUUUCAGAGCCCACUCACACCUAUCGUGAAAAACCAAAUAUUCUGUGAUAAAAGCUAGAAAGAAGUUACCUGUGAAACUGCUUUGUGAUGUGUGGAUUCAGCUCGGAGAGUUAAACUAUUCUUUUCAUUCAGCAGCAGGUGGAAAACAUUCUUCUUGUAAAAUCUGUGAAAAGACAUUUCAGACACCCCUGAGACCAAUAGUGAAAAACUGUAUAUCCUGUGAUAGAAACAAGAAAGAAGCUAUUUGUGAAAGUGCUUUGAGAUGUGUGGAUUCAGCUCACAGAGUUAAACCUAUCAUUUGAUACAACAGGUUGGAAACCCUCUUCUGACAGUAUCUGCAAAGGUACAUUUCAGAACUCAAUUUGGCCUAAUAGUGAAAAACUGAAUAUUCUGCUAUAAUUAAUAGAAAGAAGCUAUCUUGAAACUGCCUUGUGAUGUGUAAGUUCUGCUCACAGAAAAACUUUUCUUUAGAUUCAGCACAUUAGAAACACUCUUUUUGUAGAAUCUGUGAAUGGACAUUUCUGAGCCUACUGAAACCUAUAGUGAAAACAGAAUAUCUUGUGAUAUAAACUAGAAAGAAGCUAUUUGCAAAACUCCCCUGUGAUGUGAUUGUACAGUUCAAAGAGUUAAAUCUUUCUUUUGUUCAGAAGGUUGGAAGAGCUUUUUUUACAGAAACUGCUUUGGAGCCCACUGAGACCUGUAGUAAAAACUGAAUAUGCCAUCAUAAAAACUAGAAGGAAGCUCUCUGUGAAACUGCUUCCUGAUGUGUGCAUUCAGCGAACAGAGUUAAACCUGUCUUUGGAUUCAGUAGAUUAGAAACACUCUACCGGUAGAAUCUGCGAGGGGACAUUUUGGAGACGUUUGAAGCCUAUAGUGAAAAACAGAAUAUCCCGUGAUAUAAACUAGAAGGAAGCUAUCUGUGAAACUGCUUUGUGAUGUGUGAAUUCAUUUCACAGAGUUAAAACUUUCUUUUGAUUCAGCAGCUUGAAACACUUUAUUUGUAGAAUCUGCGAAUAGACAUUUUGGAGAACACUGACACCUUUAGUGAAAAACAGAACAUCCCGUGAUAAUAACUGGAAAGAAACUAUCUGUUAAACAGUUUUGUGAUAUUUGGAUUCAGUUCACAGAGUUACAUUGUUUUUGAUUCAGCAGGUUGAAUCACUCUUUUAGUGGAAUCUGUGAGUAUGCAUUUCAGAGCCGACUGAGGCCUUUAGUGAAAAACGGAAUAUGUCACAAUAAAAAGUAGAAAGAAUUUAUCUGUAAAACUGCUUUAUGAUGUGUAGAUCGUGCACACAAAGCUAAACUUUUUUUUUUUUUUGAUUCAGUAGAUUGUAAACACUGUUUUUUGUAGAAUCUUCCAAGGGACAUUUGGAGCCAUCUGCGGCCUAUAGUAAAAGACAAAAUACCCCAUGAUAAAAACUAGAAAGAAGCUAUAUGUGAAACUGCUUAGUGAUCAGUGGAUUCAGGUCACAGAGCUAAACCUUUCUUUUGAUUCAGUAGGUUGGAAACCCUCUUAGUAUCUUGGAAGGGACAUUUCAGAGCCCACUAAGGAGUAUAGUGAAAAAACGAAUAUCCCAUGAUAAAACUAGAAAGAAGCUAUCUGUGAAACUGCUUUGUGAGGUGUAGAUUCAACUUACAGAGUUAAACCUUUCUUUUGACUCAGCAACUUGUAAAAACUCUUUUUGUAGAAUCUGGGAAGGAAUAUUUUGGAGCCCACAGAGGCCUACAGUGAAAACAAAAUACCCCGCAGUAAAAACUAGAAGGAAGCUGUCUCUAAAACUACUUUGUGGUUUGUGGGUUUACCUAACAGAGUUAAACCUUUCUUUUGAUUUAGCAGGUUGUAAACACACCUUUUGUAAAAUCUGCAAAUUUACAUUUUGGAGCAAACUGAGUCCUAUAGUGAAAAAACAAAAAAUCCCAUGAUAAAAACUGGAAAGAACCUAUCUGUGAAAACUUGUGAUGUGUGCAUUCAGUUCACAGUGUUAAACUUUUCUUUUGAUUCAGCAGGAUGGAAACAGUCUCUUUGUGCAAUCUGUGAAUGGAUAUUUCUUAGCACAAAGAGGUCUACAGUUAAAAACUGAAAAUCUUGUGAUAAAAACUAGAAAGAAGCUAUCUAUGGAACUGCUUUGUCAGGUGCAGGUUCAACUCACAGAGGUUGGAAACAGUCUUAUUUUCAAAUCUGCGAAGGGACACUUUGAAGGCCACUGAGGCCUAUAGUGAAAAACCAAAUAUCCAAUGAAAACAACUAGGAAGAAUCUACCUGUGAUGUGUGGACUCAGCUCACAAACUUGUACAUUUCUUUUGAUUAGCAGGCUGAAAACACUUUUUUUUAGAGUCUGUGAAUAGACAUUUCGAAGCCCACUGAGGGCUAUGAUGAAAAGCAGAAAGAACCCAUCUGAAACUGCUUUGUGAUGUAUGGAUUCAGCUCACAAAGUUAAACUUUCCUUUUGAUUUUCUGGUUUAGUAAACACACUUUUUGUGGUAUAUGCAAAGGGACAUUUCAGAGCUUUCUGAGGCCUAUAGUGAAAAAGUGAAUAUCCCAUGAUAAAAACCUUAAAGAAGCUAUAUCUGUGAAACUGCUUUGUGAUAUGUGGAUUCAGGUCAAAGAGAUAAACCUUUCUUUUGAUUCAACAGGUUGGAAAAACUCUUUUUGUAGAAUCUGCAAAGGGGCAUUUCAGGGGCCAAAGAUGACUACAGUGUAAAACUGAAUAUCCCCUGAUGCAAACUACAAAGAAACUACCUGUGAAACUGCUUUGUGAUGUGUGCAUUCAGUUCACAUAGUUAAACCUGUCUUUUGAUUCCGCAGGUUGGAAACACUCUUUUUGUAGAGUCUGUGAAAUGCCAUUUUGCAGCCCACUUCAGGCCUAUAGAGAAAAACCAAAUAUCCCGCAAUAAAAACUAGAAAGAAGCUAUCUUUGAAACUGCUUUUGAUGUGUUGAUUCAGCUCACAGAGUUAAACCUUUCUUUUGAUUCAACAGGUUGGAAAAACUCUUUUUGUAGAAUCUGCAAAGAGACAUUUCAGAGCCCAUUGAAACCUAUAGUGAAAAACCAAAUAUCCCG
rnacentral:lncRNA from 10 species